GUAGGUGAACCUGCGGAAGGAUCAUUAACAAAUAACAAACUCGUGUUGCCCUCGCCCAACUUUACUGGUGGUGGCGAGGGACGUUCACACUACACAUCUUGAUGGACAACAUUGAUAUGACGGAGUGCCUAUUGGUUGGGGUGUGGGUAGUAGUGUAUACAACAUACUCUACACACACUAUAUCCAUAAGAUGCCGCUGUCAACACCAUUAUUUACUCUAAUGGAAACAACUUUUAACAAUGGAUCUCUU
rnacentral:misc_RNA from 1 species